GAGUUUGAUCUUGGCUCAGAUUGAACGCUGGCGGCAUGCCUUACACAUGCAAGUCGAACGGCAGCACGGGAGCUUGCUCCUGGUGGCGAGUGGCGAACGGGUGAGUAAUGCAUCGGAACGUAUCCUGGAGUGGGGGAUAACGUAGCGAAAGUUACGCUAAUACCGCAUAUUCUGUGAGCAGGAAAGCGGGGGACCUUCGGGCCUCGCGCUCUUGGAGCGGCCGAUGUCGGAUUAGCUAGUUGGUGAGGUAAAGGCUCACCAAGGCGACGAUCCGUAGCAGGUCUGAGAGGAUGAUCUGCCACACUGGAGCUGAGACACGGUCCAGACUCCUACGGGAGGCAGCAGUGGGGAAUUUUGGACAAUGGGGGCAACCCUGAUCCAGCCAUGCCGCGUGAGUGAAGAAGGCC
rnacentral:rRNA from 1 species